rnacentral:rRNA from 1 species
GACGAACGCUGGCGGCGUGCUUAACACAUGCAAGUCGAACGGGCCCGCUCUCUUUUUUGGGGGUGGGUUGAGUGGCGAACGGGUGAGUAUCACGUGAGUAACCUGCCCCCUGCUCCUGGAUAACUGCUUGAAAGGGCGGCUAAUACGGGGUGUGCCGGCUGGUCCGCAUGGGCCUGGUCGGGAUAGUUUCAUCUUCGGGUGUUUCGGUGGGGGAUGGGCUCGCGGCCUAUCAGCUUGUUGGUGGGGUGAUGGCCCACCAAGGCGGUGACGGGUAGCCGGCCUGAGAGGGUGGGCGGCCACACUGGGACUGAGACACGGCCCAGACUCCUGCGGGAGGCAGCAGUGGGGGGUAUUGCACAAUGGGCGGAAGCCUGAUGCAGCGACGUCGCGUGAGGGAUGGAGGCCUUCGGGUUGUGAACCUCUUUCUCCGGUGGUGAAGGCCCUGUCCGUUGCGGCGGGGUUGACGGUAGCCGGGUAUGAAGCGCCGGUUAACUACGU